rnacentral:piRNA from 1 species
UACAUUGAUGUCAAAGCUCUGCUUAAAUAAA